UUCUUGUUUUUGAAAAAUUUGUUCAAUAAUGGAAAUAUGAAGACGUGGAAAGAUAUGCAGAAAGUUGAGACAAGUUAUGUAAGGUCUAGAACAGUUCACACAAAGAAACAAGAUGAUUUAUACUAUGAGUAUAGUUUUUAAUCAAUUUCAUGUUAUGAGUGUAACAGAAAUAACAUAAUAAUAUGCAAGGAGUAUAGAUGCUAGGAGAGUAUAUUAUAUUCAUUGAUGUGGAUAUAAGCCCAACUAUAAAAUAAUUAGGACAGAGAAACCUGUUCCAUUCAUUGUCCCUCCAGACUGAUUUGCAAACUGUGAGAUCAAGGACAGCUUUCUAUCAGUUAUGUAUUGGAAAACACAUGCUGGACAUGCUGAACCAUGCAUCUGUAAAAACUACAAGAAAAAAUGGUUGUAGAGAAAUUAAUGAGGUGCCACCCAAUAAAAUUUCAUGAGAUUCAAGAAUGUGAAGAUACAUGAGCAAUUUCAGAUGAUGCUGCAAGGUGUUUGGGAGAAAAUAAAAAGAGAAACUGAGUAAACAUUGAAUUUGAUAUUAAGAUAGUUUUUUAGCUCACAAAUGUUUUUUGUUUUGUAUCUGUAUUAAAUUUUUAUUAUACAGUAGGUACUUAGCACCCCAAUUAUCCGUGCUCCUCGUGACCGGAAGUGGCACGGAUAAUUGAAAAGCACAGAUGAUCCAAUCAUUAAUUUCUUAUACAGUGAGCAUGUAAAGGUUGGAAUAAAUUCAUUUUCUCGAGAAUGGACGACUUUUGAAAAAAAUCCCAAAACAGGUCAAUUUUUAAUUUUAAAUUACGACUUUUUGGCAUAUAUAUAAUACUAGUGACGUCACCCAUCUGGGCGUGAUGACGUCAUCGAUGAUUUUUUUAAAUGAGACUAGUAGUCGUGUGAUAGCUCAUUUGAAAGGUAAUUCAAUUCUCUAUUCAGUAAUAUAAACAUUAACAUAAUUAUUUAUACAGGGUGUCCAAAAAAUUUUUUUUUGUAUUAAAUUUAUUGACAUAAAAAGAAGAAUGUAUGUAAUUUAUUUAUUUCAAAAUACAUUUUACUCGCAGAAAACAGAAAAAAAAUGUUUAUUUGAAAAAUAAUCAUUGCUUUUCGCUUAAAUUAAAUGUUCAAAUUGUCACGAGGCUGGUGGGUAUUGUCGAAGCGAAGAUCGGUGGAAUAUGCGCAUUUUAUCAAUGAAAUUCGAUAUUUUUAAGAUAUUCCACAAGCCGCUAUAGAUAAAAUGUUUUAACGACCUAUUAAUCAUUCAUAAUUACUCAACGGAUAUUAGUACAGUUAAAAUAAUUAAGACGAUAACCGGACAACAUUGAUUUAAUGAGUAAAAUUUAGUUUUUUUUUAUUUUAAUGUCAAAAAAAGCAAGCCCAUUAGCAGAACCCAAUUAAAAAUUAUUUUGCACAUCAUAUUUGAAACAUAAUUUGGUUAAAAAAUCUCAUUUUUGUUGGCAAAAAAAAUAUAUUAAUUUGUUUGGACUAAAUUAACGUUGUGCUUAUCUUAAAAAGGAUAUGUUAGUAUCAACAUUCGCACAGUGUUGCCAAACUGAAUUUUGUUAUUUUGGGUGUAAAUUUUUUCCACGGAUCUCCGAGGGUACUAUACCUGCUUUAAUAUUGAAUUUAAGCCAAAAACAAUAUUUAUUUGCCAAAAACACAUUUUUUCCUGUUUUAUGAUAGCAGUAAAAUGUAUUUUGAAUUAAAUAAAUUACACUCAUUCUUCUUUUUAUGUCAAUAAAUUUAAUUCAAAAAAAUUUUUUUUGGGCACCCUGUAUAAAUAAUUAUGUUAAUGUUUAUAUUACUGAAUAAAGAAUUGAAUUACCUUUCAAAUGAGCUAUCACACGACCCCUAUUCUCAUUUAAAAAAAACAUCGAUGACGUCAUCACGCCCAGAUGGGUGACGUAACUAGUAUGACAUAUAUGCCAAAAAGUCUUAAUUUAAAAAUAAAAAUUGACCUGUUUCGGGAUUUUUUCCCAAAAUCGUCCGUUCUUGAGAAAAUGAAUUUAUUCCAACCUUUACGUGCUCACUGUAUAUGAUUCAUAUAAGAAUAUUAAAUAUUCUACAUAUGAAAUUUUCAUAAGAAUUUCUUAUGCAUGAUAUGUACUUACCUAUCAUAAAAAGAUAACAGAAAAAAUAAAUCUUUCAUUAUGAGUCUCCUUUUCUGCAUAUAGAGUUUCUGUCGAGUGAUUAAAGUGAUGCUAUUUUGAUAAAACCUUAAAAAUUCAAUUUGAGUAAUAGAAAAUCGUAGCACGGAUAAUCCGCAGCCCGGAUAAUCUGCACACGGAUCGGGGUUCUACUGUAGUUGUAUAGGCUAAUUUACAAGAAUGUUAGUUUGUUUUUAUAGAUUUUACUUGAUUCAUAAAUAUUGUGAAAUUUCUUAUAAGAUUAUAUUUACAUAUAUACGCAUACUUAAUUUAGGUCUGAAUUUUAAAGAAUUGUUAAGUAAUGAUGUUAUUUUAUAGACAACAUUAUAAUAUACUAGAGUUGUACUUUAAAAAUCAAAAUAUUACUGGGUCCCAGGCGGGGUUUAGAGGGGUUUUACCUUCGCCAUUGCACCAAUAAGAGCCUCCCCUCCUUUGAUUUCCGAGAUUUUUAAUAAAGAAUAAAAAUUUUUAAACAUUA